UCAAAAACAUCUCUUCUUGAUAAGAAGUAGGCCCUGCCCGGUGCUCAUUAUGAUAAACGGCGGUGUUAAACCUUAAAGUAGCGUAAUAAUUUGUCCUUUAAUUGGGGGCCAGUAUGAAGGGGUUGACGAUGGAGAGACUGUCUCCAAAAGAGUGAAAUUUUCUUUCUAGUGAAAAGACUAGAAUCAGGUUGAAAGACGAGAAGACCCCGUCGAGCUAUUUUUGUUGGGGUAAUAAAGGAGAAACCUCUUUUUGAUAUUUAGGAUCCAAUUAUGAAAAAAAGAAAAAGCUACCGCGGGGAUAACAGCGUUAGACUGCCUGGGAGGCCUUAUUUAAGGCAGUAGGUGCGACCUCGAUGUUGGCUUAGGGAAACUUUUUGGUG
rnacentral:rRNA from 1 species